AGUGAACGCUGGCGGUAGGCCUAACACAUGCAAGUCGAACGGCAGCACAGUAAGAGCUUGCCUUUACGGGUGGCGAGUGGCGGACGGGUGAGGAAUACAUCGGAAUCUACUUUUUCGUGGGGGAUAACGUAGGGAAACUUACGCUAAUACCGCAUACGACCUACGGGUGAAAGCAGGGGAUAUUCGGACCUUGCGCGAUUGAAUGAGCCGAUGUCGGAUUAGCUAGUUGGCGAGGUAAAGGCCCACCAAGGCGACGAUCCGUAGCUGGUCUGAGAGGAUGAUCGGCCACACUGGAACUGAGACACGGUCCAGACUCCUACGGGAGGCAGCAGUGGGGAAUAUUGGACAAUGGGCGCAAGCCUGAUCCAGCCAUACCGCGUGGGUGAUGAAGGCCUUCGGGUUGUAAAGCCCUUUUGUUGGGAAAGAAAAGCAGCAGGUUAAAACCCCGCUGUUCUGACGGUACCCAAAGAGUAAGCACCGGCUAACUUCGUG
rnacentral:rRNA from 1 species